rnacentral:lncRNA from 1 species
UUCUUCGCCAUAGCUGUAUCUAGUGUUGUGAGUUCUGCUUCCAUUGUUGACCUCGUUAAGAUUGUUUGCUUGCAAGACUUCCAAGAAACAGCGCCACCACCAUGAGUAAAUACAUAUCCGCUCGUGGCCUUUAUCUCAUCAGCAUGAGAGAUCCAGUUUGAGUCACUAUACCCUUCAAGUACCUUUGGGUACCGAGUGUAUUGAAUUCCAUAACUCGUAGUGCCCUUCAAAUAGCGCAUAACUCUUUCUAGAGCUUUCCAAUGAUCAUCUCCUGGUUUUGAGACAAACCGGCUCAGCUUGCUAGCAGCAAAAGAGAUGUCACGUCUCGUAGCGCUUGCUAAAUACAUGAGCGAGCCAAUUAUUUGGGAUUAUUUCAAUUGAUCUCUAGCAAUUAUUCGAUUCUUUCGAAGCAACACGCUAGCAUCAUAAGGUGUUGGAGAAGGCUUGCAGUUAGUAUAACCAAAGUGACUCAAGAGAUUUUCCACAUAGUGAGAAUGAAGCAAAGUAAUCGCACCGUCAUCACUUCUCAGCAGCUUGAUAUUCAGAAUAACAUUAGCUAAUCCUAAAUCCUUUAUCUCGAAACAACGAGAUAGGAAAUCCUUGACUUCCUUAAUAACAUUCAUAUUUGUUCCGAAAAUCAAUAUGUCUUCAACAUAUAAGCAGAGGAUAACUCCCUCGCCCCCACCAUGGCGAUAGUACACACAUUUGUCAGCUUCGUUUACAACAAAGCCUACACCUAUUAAAGUUCUUUCAAACUUCUCAUGCCACUUCUUAGGUGCUUGCUUAAGUCCAUACAAUGACUUCAAAAAUUUGCACACUUUUCCCUCAUGACCGUCCAUUAUAAAUCCAUAUGGUUGUUCCAUAUAAAUUUCCUCGUCCAACUCUCCAUUUAGGGAAGCAGUCUUAACUUCCAUUUGGUGGACGAGAAUACCAUGUGAAGCUCCUAGUGAAAGAAGUACUAGAAUAGUGGUCAGUCGAGCCAUAGGUGAGUAAGUGUCAAAGAAGUCUUCACCUUCCUUUUGGGUAUAACCUUUGGCCACGAGUCAUGCCUUGUACUUCUCAAUAGUACUAUCAGGCCUAAGAUUCUUCUUGAAUACCCAUUUGCAGCCUAUAGGUUUGCACACAUAGGGACAAUCAGUUAUCUCACAAGUUUCAUUUGCGAGGAUGGAAUCCAUCUCACUACAAACCGCUUCCUUCUAGUAGUCAGCAUCUUCAGAUACAUAAGCCUCUGAAAUAGAACUGGGAGUGUCUUUUAUGAGAUAUACAAGAAAAUCAUCACCAAAGGACUUUGUAGUCCUUUGACUCUUGCUCCUUUUAGGAUUCUCCUUGUUGUUCUCCACAGGAUCUUCAAGAUGUUGUGUUGCAAUAGUCGGUUCAGAAGGUGCACCUACAUCUUGACUCGAUAAGCUAGGCAUCUCCUGAUUUGAUGCGCUAGCCAUAUCCUUAAUGGGAAAUAUAUCUUCAAAGAAGGUCACAUCAUUCCACUCCAUGAUUGUGCCAACAUGCAUGUCAGAUACCUCAUAUUUUAUAAUCAAGAAUCUACAACCAAUGCUAUGAAAAUAUACCCCAGGAAAACAUAAUCCACAGUUUUUGGCCCAAGCUUUCGCUUCUUUGGAAUUGGUAUAUUGACUUUUGCCAAGCAGCCCGAAGUUCAUAGGUAAGAGAGUUUUAACCUUUUCUUCUCCCAUUCCUCAAAUGGAGUUAUCUCUUUGUUCUUUGUGGGAACUCGGUUUAGGACAUGACAUGCAGUCAAAAUCGCAUCCCCCACCAUGCCUUGGAGAGACCUGAUAUGACUAAAAUGGCGUUAACAAAAUCAGUUGGAGUGUGGUUCUUCAUUUCAGCUACCCCAUCUGACUGAGGUGAAUAGGGAGGCGUUCUCUCAUGGAUUAUACCAUGUUCGGCACAAAAAGAAUCAAAUUCAUUGAAAAAAUACUCUCCACCAUGAUCAGACCUAAGCCUCUUAAUUUUCUGAUCAAGUUUGUUUUCCACUUUAGCUUUAUAGAUCUUGAAGAAAUUCAAAGCCUCAUCUUUAGAUUUUAAAAGAUACAGAUGGUACCAUCUAGUGGAGUCAUCGAUUAAUGUCAUAAAAUAUGACUUUCCACCUUUCGUCAAAAACACUGUUCAUUUCACAAAGAUCUGAAUGUAUGAGUUGUAGUGGCGCAAGAUUUCUUGUUUCUGCAGUUGCAUGAGACUUACGAGGUUGCUUAGCUUGCACACAAACUUGACCCUUAGAUCCCUUGAUAGAAGUGAAGUUCAGGAUCAAGUUCAACUUGACUAGCCGCGUCAUAGAACCAAAAUUAACAUGACAAAGACGUGAAUGAAAGACAUUUGAUUCUCUAUUAUUGCAAACGUGAUUAAACCCUUUAUUACAAAACAUCUAAUAAAGAUAGUCUGAACAAGCCUCCUGACUCAUAACCUUUACCAAGAAAAGUUCCAUACUUGGAUAUAAAAUUUAUUGGACUGAAAGACAAACUUGUAGCCAUCUCAACAUAGAGGAGAUCCACUAACAAGAUUUUUAUUAUCGGAGGGUACAUAAUGCAUGUUCUUCAGCCGCAUUAUUUUUCCUGAAGUAAACUUCAGAUCGACCGUGCCAACACCACGAACAUAAGCACUUGAACCGUUUCCCGCCAGGAUGGAGGUAGUCCCUGCGGCCUGAUAUGAAGAAAACAUAGAAAUAUCACCGCAUAUAUGCACAUUAACACCCGUAUCAAUCAACCAAUCAGGAGAACGACAUAGUGAGAGAAUAGUGGGAAGUAUACCAUACCCAACAUCCUGCAUCUCAGCAUCACCAAUGAUAACAUUAGCAAUCUUGUCGCCUUUCCCAUGUUGACGCUUUUCAUAACGGUUAGGGCAACUAGGUGCCCAAUGAUGAGGAUCUCCGCAAACAUGACAAACACCUUUCUUUUUGUCAGUCUUCUUCUUGAGUGUGCUGUGAAGCCUUGUUCUUCCCAUCAAACUUUCCCUUACCAUCAAAUUUGCCCUUGUUAUUGAACUUGUGGGGUUGGAAGUUUUUCUUCUGCACCAGAUUGGCACUAGAACCUCCUUCCAUACCUCAAGCAUGUAUGUCUUGCCUUUUCUUCCACAUCAAGAUUACCAAUGAGAUCCGGAACGGAAAACUCCUUCCUCUUAUGAGUGGGAGAGGUAGCAAAGUUCCUCCAUGAAGGAGGAAGCUUAGUAAUAAUACCUCCGGCAACAAACUUCACCGGUAACAUACAAUUGAAGUUCUCAAGUUCUCCAGCAAAUGAUUGUAUCUCGUGAGCUUGUUCAACCACAGAACGCUCAUCAGUCAUCUUUAUUCAUAGAAUUGUUCCAUGAUAUACAGCUUAGUGCCAGCAUUCGAGACUCCAAACUUGGCCUCGAGCACGCUCCACAUAUCUUUCCAUUGUCAAUUGACGCAUAAGCAUCAACAAUGUUCUCACCAAGAAUACUCAAGAGAGCAUCCUUAAACAAGGUAUCAAUUUUCUGAAAAGCGAAUUCCUGUUGAGGAUCAAGAAUUCCUUCAGGUUUGCCAAGAGUGGCAUCGUAGCAGCUCAUGGUUUGAAACCAUAGAACAUCCCUUACACACCAUCUCUUAUAGUGCACACCCUCGAACAUAGGAGGCCUCAUGGAAGCAGCAAAACCACUCGGGGUAAAUUUCCUAAAAUAAGGUCUUCGGAUUGUUGGAAAUAUGAGCGAUUUACCAAGUGAUUUUACUAGCAGAAAUAGUAGAUGAAUCAUGACUACCAUAGCAAUUAUAAGACAAGCCAGUCGAUUAUACACAGAGUAUGCAAGUAGCAUAUGAAGUGAUGAGCAGGAACGAAACAUAUCUAGAAAAGAAACUAUAACAAGAAGUUGUGGCAGGAACUCAAACAAGAAGAACACGAGAACAUACUGAGUUGGAGCAGCAGCUAUAGUGGGAUUUGCGUUGACGUCGUCAUUGGCCAUGUUGCCGAAGAGGCUGUCGAUGUCGGGGAAGAAGUCGUCAUCCGGGAAGUAGUCGUCAGCGUUCGUGAUGGAAAAGCCAGUAGUCGCAUUGAGCGCUCCCCAAAAACCUUAUCGCCCUUCUCCAGUACAUGACUCAAAGAGACGGGGUUUCGGAGGCCUACUGUUCCGACCUGCGGUGCACGUCGCAAGCCGGGGCGGGGAAAAGCUAGCAGUAGCUCAGAGAUUGGAACUCGUUGGCAUGAGGAAGAUGGUAUUCUCGUGUGUCUCUCUGGAGAGGAGCGACCUGUCUUUUAUAGGCCCAUGAGAAGGAGGCAGGCACGCAACAUCGGGAGGCGAAGCAAAAGAGAUUGCAGUCAGGUUGAUAAUAGUCGAGUGACAUUACUUCGUCGGUCCAAACUAAGGAAUCUGUUAUAAAUGUUUUGAAAUAGAUAUUGUUCUCUCUUUGAUCAGGGAUUGCUAUAUGAAAAUAAGUGGAGUUUGAAAAAGGGAACGAAAUGCUCAAACCGGAACUGCUAGAGGAACGAAUUUUCAAUAGCAUAACUUGGGCUCCUAGAAUAUGGUGCCCUUGAGACAAUCUAUUUGAUUGCAGGGUUUUGUUCUGAAGCAAAGAUAUCCGCAGAGGACGGUUCGUUCGUCCUAUUCUGAUAUUCAGGACCAAGAGGUACUGCAUUCUCUGGCUGAAAUGCCAACGGAACUCUGUCUAUUCUCUAAUUCACCCGAUCCGAUAGUACCUGUUUUUGGAACGUCCAGUGCCAAAGUCAUUGAAUGGGUAAGUCACGAAUCCAAUCCCUUUGACAAAUCGGAUGUCAUAUUAUAUAUCAUAUCCUAUAUAUAUAUAUAGAAAUAUCAUAGAUACCCCGUUUCGUGACGAGGCGAGACGGGCGGCGGAGGAGGAGGAGCGUGCGUGUAUGUCUCUCUUGUUCUCAUGCUCAUACAUGUGUGGAAACAUCCUUUCUUAUAAGGAGGUCCAACUCCUACCAAACUAGCAAUGUGGGACUAAACUUUAGUCCCUCCUCUUGCCUUGCACGAGUGGGCUAAGUGGGCCUCUAGGAUUUAUUAGAAAUUCUGAAAAAGGUCAUUGGGCUGGCCCAAAAUUAUAAAAUUCUAGCACAUAAUUGGGGGGGGGGGUAUACCUCUGGGGCUCCCGAUAGUCCGAUGAGCAGGCUGCCGGACAUGAGGCAGACAAAGGGAUCCGCAGCGCUCGGCCAUAGAUUAGUGUAGGGUAUCCAUGUCGUUAGAAUGGAGCUCCACGCGACCAGACGUGCACAUAGUUUUACCUAUUUUAGUUCAAAUAUGUCCAAAAUGCAAUGAAUUUAGUCCGGUUUAUAUGAAAUCCGUUGUGUUUGCAUGAGUUUCAUCUGCUUUGUUGGAAAAGUGUUUGAAAUAUACUUCCUCCGUUCCAAAAUAUAAGACCUUUUAGGAAUUUCACUAUAAGACUACACACGGAGCAAAAUGAGUGAAUCUAUACUCUAAAAUAUGUCUAUGUACAUCCGUAUGUAGUUUAUAGUGCAAUCUCUAAAAGGUCUUAUAUUUAGGAACGGAGGGAGUAUGUGAGUAACGAUGGAUGACCGACAACACUCGAGAAUAUCAUUUUUGGUGGUGCUCCUCAGGUGCCGAGUCAUCACUUUCAAGGUGAAAACCUAAGGUCUAACUUUCGUUUUGUGCCUUAUAUUAGAGUAUUUAACCAAAAACCACCAUAAUUCAUGGAAACGUGCCUAGAAACUACUACUAUACGUUUUUGUGCCGAAAGCUACCAUUUUUAUCCUAAUCAGUGGCAAAAAACUACCAAGUGUGAAUAUUGCUCCAUUAGCCUCUUUGAAAUGCCUUUUAUCCUAAUCCGUUAACUACUCCAUUAACCUACCUGGCGCAGCCCCGCCGCCGUCGCCAUGGCCUCGCCCAAAGCGGCGGCCGCCCCGUGCCUCGCCGUCGGCAGGCCUCCUUGUCGCCGACCACGUCGCCGUCGGAUCCCGGCGUCCUGCGAACCGCCCCACGCUGCCAGUCUCCAUGCCCUCGCACCGAGCGGCGGCCGCCCCGCGCCUCGCGGCCGAAGGCCUCCCGUCGUGGACCCUGCCGUGGUUGGAUCCCACCGCCUCGCCUCCCUGGCGCAGCCUCGUUGCCCCGUGAACCGCCCCGCGCCGUCCAUCGCCAUGGCCUCGCCUCGAGCGGUCGUCGCCAGCGUCUCGCCGUCACCAGAUCCGGCAGGCGUCGCCCUGGUUCCGCCUCUCCCGGACCUCCCCGCCGCCCUGCUCAUGCCGGAGUGCUGCGUGUAGAUCGCGUCGUCUCCUCCAGAUCCGGUCGCACCGCCGCCGUACUUCAUCUUCUCCACCUCCGGUGAAGGCCGCCGCCGUCUCGAUCUCUUUCUCCGGUGACGGCAAACUUAACGGUGCUGACUUUUCCGUCCUGACAUGUGGGCCAACCCUGUCAUAAUGAGUUUAAACGAGCCAAAUGAGGCGUUUUGCAGACUUGAUUGUUUUUAGUCACAGAUUAGCAAAAAAAAAUUGAUAGUUUUUGGCGCAAAAACGAAUUGUGAUAGUUCCUGGGCACGUUGGCGUGAAUUGUAGUAGUUUUUGAUUAAAUACUCCUCAUAUUACCUUGAUGAAGGUAUUGUUUCGAGAGCUCGGUCUUUUUAAGGGAGAAAACCUAAGAUCUUGGAUCGGACGACGAUGACGCUUGUGCACCGAUUUUUUUUUAAAGGCAUCAUUUUUUAGGAUGGUUUGAGUGUCGCUGCUGCUGAGAAGAGUUGUUCACUGUGACGAGUAGUUGAAAAUGCUCUUACUAUUACAUUUUUCUUUCAAACACGUUACAGUUUACUCCCACCUCAAGUAGUUCCGAGCUACUGUACGUAGUAGCCACACACAUGGAGCGACUCACUCACCUCCAACCAAUUUAACUUUCGUGAAUCUUUGAUCGCUUUUCAUUUGGCCCAGCUCGACGUCACGCGGAUGUCCCCGAUGGAUCUCGCCGGCCACACGCCCCUCGACGACGACGAGAUGAGCAGCGUGUGAUCCUCGUCGCCCCGUCCAUCCAACCGAAGAUAAGACGCCCACUCCCUCCCCUCCACAUGGCACCCACCCUCCAAUCCCUUACUUAUUCCCGCCCCCCUCACUCCUCCAUCCCCUAGCUCCACCUCUCAUCCGCUCCUCAGCCACACCUAGAGCAUCUUAGCUCCAGCUAGCCACCAAUGGCCGCCGCACUGAGCCUCCGCGCGCCCUUCUCCGUGCGCGCUGUGGCGCCACCGGCGCCCCGCGUGGCCCUUGCGCCCGCGGCCCUCAGCCUCGCCGCCGCCAAGCAGGUGCGGGGAGCCAGGCUCCGCGCGCAGGCGACGUACAAGGUGAAGCUGGUGACGCCCGAGGGCGAGGUGGAGCUGGAGGUCCCCGACGACGUCUACAUCCUGGACCAGGCCGAGGAGGAGGGCAUCGACCUGCCCUACUCCUGCCGCGCCGGCUCCUGCUCCUCCUGCGCCGGCAAGUUGGUGUCCGGCGAGAUCGACCAGUCCGACCAGAGCUUCCUCGACGACGACCAGAUGGAGGCAGGGUGGGUGCUCACCUGCCACGCCUACCCCAAGUCCGACAUCGUCAUCGAGACCCACAAGGAGGAGGAGCUCACCGCAUAAGCUGCUUACCCUGCCUCUCUUUGCAACAAGAUCGAGCUGAUAUCAUAUUAUCUCCCAUCAUGCAUGCAUGCAUGGAUAUCGCCAGAUACACCGAUUUGUUUGUGCUCGAAUGAAUUGCUCGAUGCAUGGUUUGCUCCAGUAAUAAUGUCUUCGAAUUACUACCUUUUUGUACCGUAAGAUAUACUACUGUCGUAAUACUAGCGUGUACUUAAUUCAACGUACUGAAAUGAAUCCUGAUGGCUGAGGUGUCUCUCUGAUUAAUAAUAUCUUCUUUUUUACUUAAGAUAAGAGACUGCUGAAUGUUGGUUGCUAACGGUGGUGGUUGAUGUUGAAGUUUUGUUGCUGCAAGUUGAUUGCUUCGCCGCGUUAUGCCUUGCCUUGUUUCUCAUUUAUGUAUUUUUGAUGAUGCAUCGUCGCACUAGGUAGCUCUUGAAUUGUGUUUGGGGGCACCUUGAAAUUAAUAAACAGUAAGGUAGGUCACAAUGUCUUCAACCCCCUUUCUAGAAACCACUCUAACAUCAAAUAGAAUAUUACUCUAUUGAUUAGUACAGAGAUGCUAUAUACACUUUGUCACAGUUUGUACAGAGAUUGUAGGUGAAUGCAAUUGAAUUAAACCAUAUGUGACAUGCACCGUGAAGUCGAAACCUUGCAACAUAGUGUCAGAAAUAACAAAUCGAUGUCUUACUUCAUUAGAUGUGGAACCAUCUACCCUCGUUGUUGAUCAUCAUAAUGGUUUUAUAAACCCCCAACAUGUUGUGUUUUAAAACGAUUGUACCAUGUUCUUGUUUCGACUGCCGGGGGGAGGGCUCGUGAUGACCUACUCUUUCUCAAGUUAUCAUGUUAGUCACUUGGAUGACUUAGGCCCUGUUUGGAACUAUAAUACUCCCUCCGUUCCAUAAUAUAAGUCUUUUUAAAGAUUCCACUAAAAAACUACAUACAGAUGUAUAUAAACAUACUUUAGAGUGUAGAUUCACACAUUUUGCUCCGUAUGUAGUCCACUAGUGAAAUCGCUUAAAAGACUUAUAUUUAGGAACGGAGGGAGUAGAUUAUAAUAAUCUAGAUUAUGAAGAUAGAUUAUAUAAUCUGGUUUAUAAAAAUAAUCUAGAUGGACAUGUUUGGAGGCCGGAUUAUAUAAACUGUAAUCCAGAUUUUACAUUGCAUAAUGACCUGUCUGCCCUCUGUUUAAAAAAAAAAAAGGGUGGCGGUGGUAGGAAUGUAAUUAUCUCCAACUUUACAAGGGUAAUAGAUCAUUAGCAAUCCAUAAUCUGAUUUUAGCUGGUAUAGACUAGAUUAUGAGUUUUUAAUAAUAUAUCCAUCUAGUUUUUAUAAUCUACACCAUAAGCUGUCCUGUUUGAAGACAAAAUAGAUUAUAGAAACUGGAUUAUAUAAUCUGGAUGGUUCCAAACAGGGCCUUAGAUGGAGAUAAUGCACACCAUUGAAAAAAUUAUACUUAUAGAUAGGGUCACUUUAGUGGCUGGAAUAGUCUCGGACCUGUCACUCGUACUUCGGUCCAACAACGUACAUGCCAUUGCAAUUUACUGAGCAGGGAUUGCCGCCCGCCACUGAUUUUCUAGUCCCACAUUGGCCAUGGGGAAACCUUUUCAGUGGCGGGCGGUCGGGUACAACCUACCACUGGCAGUGAAGUUGUCACUGGCAGGCACCGGUUUCCUCCAACCAUUAGUGCACCACAUAUGUAAUUUUCUAAUUUCCUGCAUUUGUUUUUACAUUUUAGUGUGGUAUUCUUUUGUGACUUUGUUACUGUAUGAGAAUUGUUUGACCUUUGUAGUAUCUUUAUUUGCUAUAUUUUAGACAUUUUAUUAAUAAAGUUGUAUUUAAUUGAAUAUAAUUAUAUUUUUUGAACUACAACUAUAUAUUUUAAAUUACUUUCAAAGGUUCGAAGACAAAUAUUUAUGUCUCGUGAAACAAUAGUAUUGUUUCACCAAUAUUUGAGCAGUUUUUCAGCAUAUGUAGUUCAUAUUUAAUUUAUGUCCAUUAGAUAAACUAAAAAUGCAUUUAAUGCCCCAAAUAUAUCAUAUAAACCUAGAAACGCAUUUAAUGCCCCAAAUAUAUCAUAGAAAACUAGAAUAGUCCUGAAUUUGACCAAGGAACUUGUAAUGGUGUAUACCAAAAAUAAAAAAAGUUUCUGUUAAAAAAUGAUGAAAAAAUUGUGUUCCCAUUCAAACCCAACAUUUUCCCUUAGAAACGUUGAUACUUCCGUGGAGACUGUUAUUUCUACGUGAAGUGCAUCGGAUUUUUUCUGUGAGUCUCUAAUUUUGUUACCACACCUUCGGUUUCAUAUCAUGACACCAUGCAAAGUUCCAUCAUUUUCAAACUGAAUUUACAUCUAUGUAUAAAAAAAAUCAAUACUCUUAAUAGCUAGAAAUUGAUCUGAUGCUUAAAAAUAGCAAAUCAACCCAAAAGGUGAUAAAGUCUAUCAUGAGUCUUUAUGAAGUAAAUUCAACCCCACAAAAGGUGGAAAUUAAAUUCUACCCCUAAAGCAGUAAAGCAAACAUAUUGCAAAAAAUGCAAAAAAGUAGCGUGCGACCAUAAACACCCUCCAUUGAUUGAUUUUGGUCACAUUCCCGCGAGUGAGUGGGACAUGCCCGCACCUUCAACCUGCAAAUGUGGUUGCCUUAUCCCCCAUUGUCGACCUCUCCCAUCCGACUCUACCCAAUCCCUAGCUUGCAAUCACCAUUGCUGCACCCGUCGUUGUCGCCGGCGAGGGAAUCAUCGUCUUUUUCAUGGGUUGUCAUUGUUGCAACAACCCCGGUCAGCGUGGCCGAAAUGCCCACCCCAUGGCCUCCUCCACCAGCAAUGGUGGCCUAACCCGCUGCCACUAGCCUCCUCUUCCUCCAAGCCCGAUGCCUUUAACUCUCCCCAUGUCUCCUUGCGCGUCGGUGGCCCCAAUCUCCUGGUUGUAUUUUGCAAUUGCAAAGGACAUUGUAUUCGUUGUGAGAUACUUAAAUCUGUUGAAAGGAUAUCGAAUUCUAUAAGCAACAUGCUUCUUGCUUGUGGAAUGUGCAGGCUAUUCUUUCAUGGAAAAUUUGGUCUUAGGAUACUUGGGGAUAGGAAAUAGAGAAUUAAUCAAGGUAGAUUGUUGUUAAUCCAUUUUGCUUCAUAUCCUUCUAUUGAUGUAUGAUUAGCUCGUUCUUUCUAGACUACGCCAUAUACAUCAUUUCUUUAGCAAAUUUAUUUACUCCUGCUUGCAUAACUAUGUCGUAUGCAUCAUUAUGCUUAGCUCCUGCUUGCAAGAUUACUUGAGGAUAAUAGGAAGCAAUUAUGGUUUCAGAAUAAACCAAUCAGAAUAAGAAACACAUCCUCUAUACUCACAUCAUCUUUUAUACCUCAAUGCUUGUAGGUGUAGUGUUUUUUGCCCCAUGCAAAUUUGUGUUACGUCAUCUUUUAGAUACAAAUCAUGGUACCCUUGUUCCUGUCUUGACAUCAUGGUCAUGUUUUAAAAAAAGCAUUUUCUUAUUUAUGUUACACCCCACAUGUAUGUAUACAUAUAUUUCUUUUUUAUGUCUCUUUGAAGGUUGUUAGUGCCACAUGUAGGUGGGGUUGUAUUUUUUUAUUGGUGAAAGUUGUUGGUUCUACAUGUUGUGUCACCUUAUAUAAGGUGUAUUACACUUUAAAUAGUAAUGUGCAUAUCUCCAAAAUUUGUAGGGCUUCAAAAUGAGUGCCAAAAUUCUGGCGAAAUGUUGAUUUAUUUCCAUUUCACCACAUUUUGAGCACUCAAUAUUUUCAAUUUUUUUAGCAAAACUAUGCCCAACUUUUCCAAUGAUUCAUAAUUGUUUACCCUUAUUAUUUUAUAGAUGUACUGGCUAUACUAUAGUGUAUAAAUGAUGCGACGAACUAUGUGUUUUCUAUUUAAUUUCUCAACAUGAAUGUAUGCAAUCAACCAUGUAUACCCAUGAUGUGGUAACAUCAACGUAGGUGUGUGCCACAGGUGCUUAUCAACUCUAAGGAAUUCUACGUAGAUCUUGACGAGAACUUUCCACAGAGGAUUGUACGUUUUAAUUCAACAUGUGUUGUGGAUGCUGAAUUGCUCACAUAUAUAAAAUUACCCAAAAAAUGUCUAUUUUUCAUAUUUCUCCAUGCAUCCCUUGUUAUGCAAGGCUCACUUCCUACAUAAAGUGAACGUGCCAUAGAGGAGAAGGUUACAUUUGAGCUCAAGAUGAUCAUGUUAAAAAAUGGCACAACCUUCAACCUUACGGUCACCAACGAGGCACACGGAACCUUUCAGUUGCCCAUGUUGAAGAGGGAUUGCAACCGAAUAAAUGAUGCAAAAUGCGAAGGCAUUCUUGUUUUUUUAGCGAAGGCGUUCUUUGUCGUUUCUUGGCGAACAAGAUGAUGAUGACAACAUCUAUAUGUGGUUCACACCGCCCCCACCACCAUAGUUGUUCUUGGUGGAAGGAUUCGGAGUUCAUAGGCAUAGUUUUAUCAUGCACUUCAUUUAAUGCAUAUGUUAUAUCUUUUUAUAAUCAUCCAAAUUUAUUCCUCAAAUAACGGCUAUAUCAUUUAAAAUUAAAAGAGAAAUAGAGUUUAGGGGACUAGAAUCCCAAAUAGAAGAGGGUCUAUAGGUAAAACUAGUCUUUGCUAGAGAAUCUGCUAUUUUGCUUCCCAAAGCAAUGGGCAAAAGAUGUGCCAGCAAAGUCCAUCACCAGAAAAUAGCAUUCCACGAUAGUGGCUGCAUCUGGCUCGAAAUUAUUCGUAUGCCAGUUCACAACCUCCACAACUAGGAUACCCAUGAUGUUUCGAUAAUCACAUUAGGUUUCCAUCACAUUAUUGCACACAAUGUUUCCAGCCAAACGAGCCCUUUGCGAAUGGCACUUAACUCUAUCAAAUCGGCACUACUGACAUGAGGCAAAUACCAUGUAACAGUGAAUGACACUUAACUCUAUCAAAUCGGCACUACUAACAUUAGGCAAAUACCAUGUAGCAGUGAAUGGCACUUAACUCUAUCGAAUCGACACUAUCGACAUGAAGCAAAUACCACAUAGCAGCGAGAGAAAGUUGCCUUUGUCAUCACGUACAAUAGCUCCCAUCGCACUCGAUUGUGUUUCAUAACGGAAAGAAGCAUCCACACUAACAUUAACACUUCCCAUGUUAGGUCUCUUCCAUAUAUGAUAUUUUUUUCAUACAGCUGAUUUGAAGUUACUGCUCUUAUGAAAUCUUUGGCCAAAACAUUGAUAGAAACUGCUCCCUUUUAGGGUUUUGGAGAGUGUAGGAUCGAAAGUAUGUCUAGUGGAGGGGGCUUCAUUAGACUACUUGAUAAGAUAAAAACUGAACCUUUUUCCUAAUUUUAGUUGUGGGCUAGUUUUAGCAAUUAUGACUAGUCAAGUUCAUCCUACUCAUGCAUAUCUAAGAUUAUAGCAGCGGAAAGUAAAGACAUGCAAAUGUAAUGAAGAGGGUAAGGUAGGAAGAUCAAAUGCAAAGGUCGACACGGUGAUUUUUGGCGUGGUUCUGAUAGGUGGUGCUAUCGUACAUCCAUAUUAGUGGAGACUUCAACCCACGGAGGGUAACAGCUGCGAGAUUACACAAAGGGCUCCACCCACAAGGGCUCCACGAAGAAGCGGCCUUGUCCAUUCCACCAUGGCUUACGUCCACACAAGACUAACCUCACUCACGGUAGAUCUUCACGAAGUAGGCGAUAUCCUUGCCCUUACAAACUUCUUGGUUCAACUCCACAACAUGAAGUAGGAGGCUCCCAAGCGACACCUAACCAAUCUAGGAGGCACCACCCUCCAAAAGUUAAUAGAUGCAAUAGAAGGAUGAACUCCUUGCUCUUGUGCUUCAAAAGAUAGUCUCCUCAACACUCAAUCACUCUCUCAUAGAUUUUGCAUGGGUAGGAGAGAUUGAUCCCAUGGAAAGCAACUUGGGGAGGCUAGAGAUCAAGUUUCAAAUGGUUGAAUUGGAAUCUCUUGAUCUUAACACAUGCAUGAGUAGGUGGCUUUCUCUCAGAAAUAUGGAUCUGGCAAGUGGGUGUGUGUUCUCAGUGCUUCCUUUUCGAAUGCGAGGAGGUGGAGGGGUAUAUAUAGACAUCUCCCAGAAUCCAACCAUUACCACAUUAUUUCCCAAUGCGGUGACACCGAAAGGAAUCUUAGUGGUACCAAGUUGCAAUAAAUGUGGCACCUUUUGAAUUCUUGGUAGACCAAUAUAUGAAUCUCGAUGGUAAAGAUACGAUGAUCUAGACCAGUUUCCAAAUCUCGGUGAGACCAAUUCCAAUCUCGGAAAUUCUGAUUGUUGGAAUUUUCUCAACAGAAAGUUGGUCAUUGAAUCUCGGUGGCUCUCAUAUGAAAGUUUGUGGUACCGCCAGAUUAGAGUCUGGCAACGGAUCCAUUGGGUGGAAAAUUAGUAGGGCCAAGUGGAAAAUAUUGGUGGCACCGAUUUUGCUCGUUUAGCUUUGGACAGGGAUAUCUUGUGGGAGAAUGGCUUAGUAGUUUUGGUGGCUAUCUCUAAGCACUUGAGCAACCAAUUCACCGUAAUACCUCACCCCCUUUAAAUAGUAUUGGCCUUCCUAUGGACUCAAAGUGAUUUAUCACAUAUGUAAAAUGUAGAGUCUUCUUGCUUGAAGCUUGAGCUAAUCCUAUUCCUUCCUUCAUCAAGGGGUUUCUCCACACAAUCCUUUAGCCAAGGCAUCUUUGAACUUUUCUAAAAUAUACUUGGAUAACAUCAUUAGUCCAAUGAUGCAUAUGUUGUGAUCAAUUAUCAAAACCACCUUAGGGAGCAAUUGUGCUUUAAAUCUCUCCCUUUUUGGUAACUGACGACAACAUAUAGAUCAAAGCUUCAACAAAAGGUAUAAUCAAUUAUUAGCAUCGACGCUUUGAGAAGUACGUGGAAAGCAAGAGAUGCCCCUAUAUUUGUGCAUUAUUUUAUAUUUGCAUUGGAAUGCAAAUGCACAAUCGAUUAGGAUCAUGGGUCACUCUUCCAUGUCACAUAUAGCUUGGUGGUGCGCAUAAAUGAUAUGAAUAAAUAGUAAUGCACAUAACACCAAACAAGCAAGUGAAUGAUCAUCAAGUAGAUGGCUCCAAGGUAAUAACGUGGUAGCAGCAAUCAAACAAAGUAUAGAUCAAACACUUCUCCCAAACACAUAAAGUCAACCAAAAGACCAAAAAAUUGAAAAACCAAAUGAGACCAAAUAAAAUGCAAACCUCUCCCUCUCGAAGACUAUUUGAUCUAUACACUUGUCCUCCUUUGGCGACAAGUUACCAAAAAGUUUGAAGGUCUAGAACUAAUUAUCUCUCUGGCUUGAACUCCUCCGGUAGAUGAUGAUGGAGUGGAUAGGAGAGCGUCGAUGAAGGCUUUUGCACAUGUCCCUGGAGCUGGAGGUGUUGACACUAGAGGUGCAGGAGCAGGAGUUGAAGGUGCUAAAGCUUGAGCUGAUGAAGAUGGUCUUGCUUCCAGAACUGGCAUAGUUGUUGACCUAGUCUGGGUCGUGAACUGAGUAGUAGUAGGAAGAGGCGACUCUUCCUCAUCACUUCUAGAGCGGGAUAUAUGCACAGAAUCAACUUUAUGCUGGAGCUGCUCAACAGUGGUAGUCAACUCCGUUACCUUAACCUCCAAGUCAUGGAAUUUUGUCUCCACGAUCCUCUCAAGUCUCUUCUGGUUCAGCAAGAUCUCGGAAAUUUUCUUCUCCAUCCCUUGGAUGGUACUGACCAAGAAUGACAUCUGCUCAUCUCUGGUCCUGAGCUAUGCGGUUGAAGCUGGAGCAUUCCUAGCAGCCGCUGUCUCUGCUACCUCUGCUGCCGCUUGAGCUGUAGCUGAGCUAGGAUGGCUAGGGUCCAUCACAACUUCAUUAUCUUCAAACUCUGGCUGAAGUGGCAGGUGGGGACGAUCAAGUAGAUAUGCAUGCUUGCCAAUCUUGGCAUUGAUGAGCAUCUGAAUAUAUGGAGCAUAUCCACAGGAUUUCUUUUGAUCUACAGCAGUCUUCCUCACAUGCUCAACUAUCAAGUCCAUCAUUAUGAACCGGAAGUGGGUGUCUAGAUGAUCCAACAUGUUGAUGGAAUAACCUCUAAUAAUCUUAUCCUCUCCUGAUUUGGGCAUGAGGGUGUAUCUCAUAAUGGUGUUUGUAGUAGGUAUCCCUGCUUGCAAGAAAUAGACAAAUCCAAACUUGUACAUCUGCACAUAUUUAUGAGGCACUGGCUUGUACAUUUUGCCGUAGAGUUAUGAUUCAUCUUGGGUUCUGAGUACACAUCCAGAUCUCCUUCUUGUGCCUUUGGAUCACCAAUUGUAGUGGCUCACUCAUACAUAAUAGACUCAUACCGGUGACCUUCAGUCAUCCAUACAAUCCUUCCGUCAGAACAGAAAUUAGCGAUGGAAUAGAAUUGCAUGAUCAUCUCAUCAUUCCAAGCAGUCAUCUCUCUGCCAACAAAAUAUUUAAUAUCGACUAGCCUGAAGUUUUCUCUCACAUGGGGAAAAUAAUGCUCACUGGCCUUGAUAUAUUCCCAAUGGACAUAUCUCAUAUCGCUGACUGCAAGACUCUUAUCAUGAAACACACUCUCAUAGAAAUCUUGUUGCUCCUUUAUGUGAAAGCGGGGAUCAACAACAGUUCUCCGUCUCACAUCAUAUGGAUCAACUGAUCUCCACUUACUCACUCCUUGAUCUCUCCUCUUUUGUAUGUCCUGAGCAGUUGGUGAGCAACAUUGUGUAGUGGCAGAUGAGCUCAAAGCUUCAUUAGAACAGGGGCACCCUCUUCCUCUUCUACCGCAAACUCUCUGGAUGCAGAGCCUUUGUUCCUCUGUGCUGCAGGAAUGUCCUUGGUAGUCUUCUUGGGAGCUACAGACUUCUUAGGAGUUGAGAACUUCUUGGGAGCAGAAGGCUUCUUUGGCAUAGCAUCAACCAUCGGCUUUUUCUUCAUAGGAGGAGGGACCUUAUGUGGAAUUUAUUCCUCCUCCUCAUCAACAACUUCUUCUGGGUCUUCAUAUAUUGAGGUUGGCCUUCCAAUAACAUAGUCAAUUCUCUUUCUUGCUCUCGUAUGACAUGGCUUCUUUGCAAGCCUAGCUUCUGGAGCUUUCAUGUCAGAACGUAUGGCAUAUUCCUUCCUCACAGUCUUCCUGACUGCGGUCUUAUCUUUCUGCUUCUCAGGAACAGAUUCCUCUGGAAUAAAGUCAACAUCUUCUUCAUCCGAAUUGAUCUUCCUUCUGGACCUGGUAGCUGCCUUGGACAAGCUAUGGGAGCUAGGUGUCCCUGGGUCAGAAGGUGUCCUCCUAGGACUAGUGCCUGAAUCCAUCUCAGCACUUGGCUCAGUGAAGUUGUUCUGACUAUCCUCUGAUCCUGACAUACUGUCACAGAGCCAAGUAGACAAUCAAACCCUAUGAAUAGAUAUACAAGAUCUAGAAGGGAUGAGCAUCACAAAAAUCAGAAGUUUUGGAAAAAUCGAACUCUGAAAAGUUAGGUUUAACAUUUAGCAAAAAAGGAUUUGUGUUCCAUCGAGACAAAAAUUUCGGAGGCACCGAUACUGACGUACUAAUUAACAGAAACUUGGCACCCUUUUCCGUUCCACUGAAAAGGAGAACUCACUUUCACCGAGACCGUUCUCGGUAGCCCUAAAAAAUCGUUAAGACCAACUUUUCUAAAUCGGUGACACCGAGAUUCAAUCUUGCGGAUGGCUAACCCUAAGAAUUCCAUUGUUCUCUAAUCUAUGGAAUUUUUCUUCUAGAUAGGAUGAGUGUAGAAGUGGACAAAAUUCAUCAAAACCUUAAUGCACAAGAAUCAGAAUUGGAGCGCAUAAAGGGGUCGGAUCCGUACCCUAGCUUGGUGAUGUAUCCGCUACGGCAACGACGACGGUGAAGAUUCCUGUUGACAACGAAGACUCCGGUGGUGAGGGCGCACGUGAGAAUUAAGGCGAUGUCCACGGGACUAGGGCGCGGCAUCGAGGAUGUGCGUCACGCGACGUUUGAAGUGAUUUUCCAAUCAUCGGGUCCGUGAGAUAUAUAUAUCUCCUAGCUGUCGGUGACACCGAUAUGGAAUUUUUGGUGCCACCGAGUUCCACAACUGUCAACUGAAAGUGAAAAUAGGUGAGGCCGGAAAGAACAACUCAGUCAUACCAAGUUAAGAAAACCUGAUCAACCCUAGGCUUCGGUGGGACCGAGAUUUUGUGGUUGGUCACACCGAGAUGCAAUUUGGGAGGUUUUGGGAUUCAGCACUUGUCGAGACGGAUCUAUCAAGCACUUGUGUCCCUAAAGUUCUUGCUCAAAUUUUGUGUUGUAGCAUGAAUAGAAUUUGAGACGAGAAAGCAUAGAUAGCUAGAGGGAAGUACUUAGGCAUUCUUGUAUAUCCAAUUGGCCAAAUGAAAUAGAAAGACAAAUAACAACAAUUGGAUAUCCUCGAAUGAGAAAAAUAUGCAUACCAACAUGCUCACACAAUAAGGUGUCAAAUAAAACAUGGUGAACAUGCACGAACAUUCUAGCAUCUAUCAAGCACUUUGGCGAUAAGGAAUUCAUCUAUAUAUGAGUAUAUUGACAUAGGAGCCAAGUAAGAGUACUUGACAAUAGGUCAUACUCAUCGAUUAAGAACAAGUGGGGUUAUCACUUUUACAUAAAACAUUAAUGUGCUCACAUCAUUUAGGAGACGCUUAUACUCAAGUCUUAGAGUAAAGCUCCUCCUAGAUGUGACAACCCCCUAAGAGGGAUAAACUAACCUUAGGUUUUGUAGUAGAAGAUUUCAAGUAGGUGUAGUAGUGGUGCAUGCUCAUUGUUGAUAAAGAUCAUCUUUGAGUUGGGAGCAAUCCUAGUUGUUUCUUACCCUUCUCACCUACAUGGGUUAGUCCCAAAGCAAAAGGAAUGUAUGCAAGAAUAUCUAUGGACAUGGCAUGAAGUGCAUGAGAGGUGAUGUAAAAAUAUGCAUUAAUUACCUUGUCCUUUGCUUACCUUUGAGGUAAUGUGUGACUCCUUGAACUAAUGCAUAUGGUUGGAGUUGAUUGCAUAUAGUUCUUGCCAAAAUGAAUAAGAGUGAAUUUGAUUGGUAGAGUCACCCCCUCAAGAAGUUUCUAGUUCUUCAUCUUAGGGACCCACAUCAACUUGAUGGGGAUCCUUGGAGUUGUGAUAGCAGUAGAUGAGGUAGUGUUAGUUGUGUCCAUGGGAUUCCACUCGACCUUGGCUUGGGUUUCUUCCUCAAAUGAUUCAAUCUCCUCUUGAAGCUUUCCCUUGCCCUUGUGAUCUUGUGGUUGAAGGUCAUGUUGAGAGCUUGUUCCCUUGGGAAGAGUAGGAUCAUACUUUUCCUCUUGAGGAACGAACUUCGGUAUGGGAUAUAGACCUUCUUCCCAUUCAUCUCCGUUGGCAUUGAGGUAACCAACACCGUGCUUCUUCCGAUGUCCUCCUAGCUUGCGCAUAAUUUACUCGAAUUGCUAACUUUCGGCAAGACUCUUGAAGACACCUCUCUCUUCCUUUCCAUAAAUCAUUUUCUUUCUCAAGUGUAACUUGGCUAAGAGAAUCAUUAGUGGAAUCAAGAGAGCUACUAGAAACAACAUCAUUUGAUCUAACUUUAGCAUUUUGUUACUAGAUGAAGAAACUUUCUUGCAUUUGUUACUAGUGUUCUUAGGUUUGACUUGUGGAAUAAAAGUAGAUAAGAUUAAUCAUUUGAAUAGAUAAGAAUAACUCUUCUUCCGAAGAUCAUCAUUGAUUGCUCUUAGAAACUCAUGAUCUUGUCCUAAAUUUAGCUUCUCGAAGCAUAACUUCUCAUGAGUUCUUGCAAGCUCCCUUUGAUCUUCUAGAGUAGUUUCACGAGCUAACUUAAGAGUGUUAAAUACUUUAGUUAGUUGUUGAGUAUCUUUCUUAUCAUCAUCAUUCGAUUUCUCUUGACUAGCAUGAUUAUGUUCAAGUUCAUUUUCAAUGUUCUCACUAGUCUUAUCAAGGAGCAAGUCAUCUCCUCCUAACAAGUCAUCCUCAUCACUAUCAGAGUCAAAGUAAUUGGGGUGUGAUACCUUGGGGCCUUUUUCCAUGAAGUUGUUUCCAGUCCCUUCAUUUGGUGAAUCAAAUAAGUCAUAGGAGUUGGAGGAAACGAGUUCAAGACCGACAACACCUUCAUCUUGACUAUAGUCAGAGUUGGAGUGGUAGCUUCUCUCAGAUUGGUUGUCAGACUCGGAGCCGGAAAGCCUUUCACCAACAUGAUCUUGAUGUCUUGUUCUUGAGAUGCUCUUGGUGUACUUGUCCUUCCUCUCCAAUUCCUUUCCUCUCUGGGAGUGUCUUCGUUCAUAAUGAUCUUCUCUAAUCCUUCUCUUUGUGAGAGGUGACUCAUCUCUUGAGCUUCGUCUUCUAGGUGACUAUUCUCUUCUUUUGUGGGGAGCCGAGCACUCAUUGGAAUAGUGUCCUGGGUUUCCAUAGUUGUAGCAGUAUCGGUCACGACUAGACGAACGCUUCUCAUCAUGUAUUGAGCUUGAGCUUCUCUCCUUGCAUCUACUUUUGUAGAACUUGUUCAAUUUUAUGACCAUGAGGUUGAUCUCUUCAUUCGUAACAAAGUUGUCAUUUGAAGUAUCUUGAGUAUAACUUGAAACUCUGUAAGUACCGCUUGACUUGUUGUGCAACUCAUCUUUGUCCUUGAGUGACAUUUCAUGAGCAACAAUCCUUCCAAUAGCUUCAGUUGGCUUGAGAUCCUUGUAGUUUGGCAUCAUUUGAAUUAAUAUACACACGGUGUCGUAUCUUCCAUCCAAGGCUCUAAGUAUAUUCUUGAUGAUGAAUUAGUCGGUCAUCUCUUCACUUUCUAAGUCGGCAAUCUCAGCGACUCCCUCACCAUCCUUCAUCUUGAACUUGUCAAGAUGACUUUGAGGCACAUCCAACUUAGAUUCCAUGACAAAAUCAGCACCUUCGUGCAGAUGAAUCAAAGUAUCCCACGUGCAGAUGAAUCAAAGUAUCCCAAAUUUUCUUUGCAUUCUCAAGGCUUGAGAAUUUUAUUGCAACAUGUUCAAUUCUUCCGAUGUCGCAUCACGAUCCGGUUCCCUUGCUUCUCCAAAUAAAUCACCUUGCACACCAACACGAAUAACAGCCCAAACGGUAGGAUUAUGACCAAGAAUAUGCAUUUUCAUCUUAUGCUUCCAACUAGCGAAGUUUGUACCAUCGAAAUAUGCACCUCUACAGUGAUAAUUUCCCUCACUAGGCGCCAUACUCUCCUAGGUUGUGAAACCAAUGCAAUGGAGGCCAAAACUUUGAUACCACUUGUAGGAUCGAAAGGAUGUCUAGAGGGGGGAGGGUGAUUAAACUACUUGACAAGAUCAAAACUUAGCCUUUUCCCAAUUUUAGUUGUGGUCCAGUUUUAGAAACUACGAGUGGUCAAGUUCAGCCUACACAUGCAUAUCUAAGAGUAUAGAAGCGGAAAGUAAAUACAUGCAAAUGUAAUGUAGAGGGUAAGGUAGGAAGAUCAAACACAAAGGUUGACACAACUAUUUUUGGCGUGGUUCCGAUAGGUGGUGCUAUCAUACGUCCACAUUAGUGAAGACUUGAACCCAUGGAGGGUAAUGACUGCGAGAGUCCACGGAGGGCUCCACCCAUAAGGGGUCCACGAAGAAGCGGCCUUGUCUAUUCUACCAUGGCUUACAUCCACACAGGAGACAAGACUAGCCUCACUCACGGUACAUCUUCAUGAACUAGGCGAUCUCGUUGCCCUUACAAACUUCUUGGUUCAACUCCACAACACGAAGUAGGAGGAUCCCAAGCGACACCUAACCAAUCUAGGAGGCACCACCCUCCAAAAUGUAAUAGAUGCGGUAGAAUGAUGAACUCCUUGCUCUUGUGCUUCAAAAGAUAGUCUCAUCAACACUCAAUCACUCUCUCACAUAUUUGGCAUGGGUAGAAGAGAUUGAUCUUGUGGAAAAAACUUGGGGAGCCUACAGAUCAAGUUUCAAAUUGUUGAAUUGGAGUCUCUUGAUCUCAACAGAUCAGUAGGUUGCUCUCUCUCAGAAAUAUGGAUCUCGCAAGUGGGUGUAUGUUCUGAGUGCUUCCUCUAUGAAAUUGAGGAUGUGGAGGGGUAUAUAUAGGCAUCUCCCAAAAUCCAACCGUUACAACAUUAUUGCCCAACUCGGUGACAUUGAAAGGAAUCUUGGUGGUAUCGAGUUGCACUAAAUGUGGCAACUUUUGAAUUCUCGAUGAGACCAAUAUAUGAUCUCGGUGGUACCGAUACGAUGACCUAGACCAGUUUCCAAAUCUCAGCGAGACCGGCUCCAAUCUCGGAAAUUCUGAUUCUUGGAAUUUUCAUAACAGAAAGUUGGUCACUGAAUCUCGGUGGCACUGAUAUGAAAGUUGGUGGUACCGAGAGAUUAGGGUUUGGCAAAGGAUCUCUCUGGUGGAAAAUCAGUAGGGUCGAGUGGAAAAUAUUGGUGGCACUGAUUUUGCUGGUUUAGCUUUGGACAAAGAUAUAUUGUGGGAGAAUGGCUGAGUAUUUUUGGUGGCUAUCUCUAUGCACUUGAUCAACCAAUUCAUCAUAAUACCCCACCCCUUUUAAUAGUAUUGGGUUUCCUAUGGACUGAAAGUGAUUUCUCACAAAUGUAAAAUGUAGAGUCUUCUUGCUUGAAGCUUAAGCCAAUCCUAUUCCUUCCUUCAUCAAGGGGUUUCUCCUCACAAUCCUGUAGCCAAGGAAUCUUUGAAUUUUUUCCGAAAUAUACUUUGAUAAGCUCAUUAGUCCAAUGAUGCAUAUGUUUUGAUCAAUUAUCACGACCACCUUAGGGAACAAUUGUGCUUUCAGAGAGUUUCACCCCUCACAAACUGUUGUCGUUGCCACCAUAUAAACUAAGAAGCCACUACAAUCAGUUAUGAUGUUGGCAGCUCCCCUACUUUGGAUUGGUUUCUCUCUAAAACCUCAAUAGUUACAGAUCCUGACCGGUCCUCACAAACUGCCUUAUGGAUCACAUCUUUCACUCCAAGCUUUUUCCAAAUUCUAGAAGCACAACAAGAGGUGAAUAAGUAGUUAGAUAUCUUCAAACCCAACAUUGACUAGUAACAUGUAUGUGACAGCCAGUGAGCACUCCAAAGCAUGGUCGAAUUCCCCUCAGAACCUUCCAUGCAAAGGGUUUAACUUUGCGACAAACUCGAAGCCUUCAAGUAUGUUGUGUGUAAGUGUUAAACAUAAGAAAGUUGUUAAACUAAAUUGUGUUCUUAAUUUGUGCUAUAUAACUAGAUAUUGUGCCUUCUAUGAUACUACAAUUACUGUUAAACUGAAAAGCCCGCCACGACAACCAAAAAUGUUGACGUGUUCACUUGGCCUGACAAACAAUACUAGUGGCGGGCAUGUAUAAUAAACUGCCACUGGUACAAACAUUAGCAGUGGUGGACGCCCUGCCUGCCACUGAUGACUGGUUAGUAGCGACAGACACCCUUCACAAUAACCCUGCCAUUGGUAGGCAUUUUGUGUCUGCCACUGCUAGCCUGUUCUCCAGUAGUGACAAGGGUUUUCCUCCAAGACUAUAUCAUUCAUACCUAGUAUGCGUAGGAGUUAUCACCCGAUUUAAUGCAUGCAUGAUAGCAUGAAUCCUUUAGGGAUAAUUUGGAAGCAAGGUAAAGAAAAUGAGGGUAGCAAAUCCUCCCUUAUCACAUGAAUUUAAACAUCCCAUGUUAUUCACUUUAUUAAGUUGCCCCAUUUCAUUAAGUAAAAUUGUGCCCCUCAAAUUCACAAGAUUCCAAAGUUGUGGGAAUGAAAAGUACAAUGAGACGUCCAACUAAAUCAUAUAAUGUUUGUGAAUUUUGAAUCAAAGUUUUUUGAUUGUGCCACAGAAAGAACAAGAAUAUUAUUUACACUUUGUUUGAGCCAAUGCAAUUUUUCUUAUGUAAUGCAAGCAAAAUUGAAUCUGAAGGAGAAAAAUUUCCAAUAGGAUACGACUUUGGGGAUCAAAUAACACCCAUAGUAAAAAAGCAUAGGUCUAUUUAUAUCACAUCUAUAUUAUCUCACAUCUAAGUUAUGACAUCAGCGAAAGUCAAUGCUUUUCCAGCCCACCGCAUUUUCUUAUAUUUAUUUUUUUGCGACAUUUUUUCAUUCGUUUUUUUAUUGGAGCGUGCUAAAAAAUGCAAUAAGACUUGCCUAUGAAUCGAACUCAAGACUAGAUGGUGGUAGUUGAGAGCUCCCACCAGUAUAACCAUUACAUGCAUUUGAUAAAUUCUAAGCGGCAUAUCUUUAAGAAAAUACAACAGAGUUGAUAUUAGAAGAAAUUUUCAAGAAAAAUGUAAAAAAUUUUAAAUGUAAAAUAUUUCUGAAAACCAAAGAAAACUUGAAAUUUCCAAAGUAUUUUUCAAAUAUAAAUAAAGUUUGUAAUGCCAAACAUUUUUUGAAAAAUUAGAAAACAAUUUGAUAUUCCGAUUUUCUUAAAAAAGAUGACACUUUUUGAAAAAUUCCCGAACAAUUUAUAAAUCAGGUACACCUUUUAAAAUUCCAAUUCCUUUAAAAAACAUGGUUAAAUGAAUAUAUUUUUAUUGUAAUCAUAACUUUUCAACAAAUGUUUUUUUGCACCAUUAAAAGAAUGAGGGUGCAAAGAAUGUUCAUGUAGUUCACAAGAAUGUCCGUGAUGUUUAAUAAAAAUGUAUUAUACAAUGGAAAAUAAUCAUAACAUUCAAAUAAUUAUUAUUUACAAUCUUUUAAAAGAAACUUCACGCAUUUAGAAAAAUCAAAACAUUUUCUAGAAAAAAUAUUUGUCCGAUGUAAAAAAAAUGUUCACGUAUUUUUUUAAAAAUCAUACAAUUUAGAAAAAUGAUUUAAAAAAUGUUUACCAUGUAUUCUAAGAAUGCUUGGGCCUGUACUUGGAAAAAAAUAUUCAUCAUGCAUUUUUAAACAAUGGUAUGUGUGUUAAAAAAUGUUCCUAGUGUAUACAUGAAAAUGUACAAUGUGCAUUACAAAAGUUGACAUGUAUUUGUGAAAGCUAAAUUGCUCCCUAAGGUGGUUUUGAUAAUUAGUCACAUCAUAUGCAUCAUUGGACUAGUGAGUUUAUUCAAAUGCAUUUAAAAAAGUUCAAAGAUGCUUUGGCUAUAGGAUUCUGUGGAGAUACCCCUUUGAUGCAAGGAAGGAAUAUGAUUGGUUCAAGCUUCAAGCAAGAAGACUCUACAUUUUAUACUUUGUGAGAAAUCACUUUGAGUCCAUAGAAAAGCCAAUACUAUUAAAAAAGAGUGAGGUGUGAUGAUGAAUUGGUUGCUCAAGUGCUUAGAGAUAGCCACCAAAAAUACUGAGUCACUUUCCGACAAAAUAUAUAUGUCCUAAGCCACAUAAGCAAAAUCGAUGCCACCAACAUUUCCUACUCGUCCAUACCGAUUUUACACUUAGACAAAUUAUAUGCCAAACCCAUCAUCUCGGUACAACCAACAUUCCUAUCGGUGCCACCGAGAUUUGGUGACCAACAUUCUGUUGAGAUGAUUUCAAGUUUCGGAUUUUUUGAGUUUGAAUUUUGUCUCACCGAGUUUUGGAAACCAGUCUAGGUCAUCGUAUCGGUACCACCAAGAUUCUUAUAUCGGUCUCACCGAGAAUUCAAAAGUUGCCACAUUUAGUGCAACUUGGUACCACUGAGAUUCUUUUUGGUGUCACCGAGUUGGGCAAUACUGUUGUAACGGUUGGAUUUUGGGGGAUGCUUAUAUAUACCCCUCCACCUACCUCUCAUUCGUAGAGGAAGCACUCAGAACACACUUACACUUGUGAUAUCCAUUUUUCUGAGAGAGAGACACCUACUCAUGUGUUGAGAUCAAGAGAUUCCAAUCCAUUCAUUUGAACCUUGAUUUCUAGCCUUCCCAAGUUGCUUUCCACAAAAUCAAUCUCUCUUACCCAUGCCAAAUCUAUGAGAGAGUGAUUGAGUGUUGAGGAGACUAUCUUUUGAAGCACAAGAGCAAGGAGUUCAUCGUUCUACCACAUUGAUUACCUUUUGGAGGGUGGUGCCUCCUAGAUAGGUUAGGUGUCUCUUGGGAGCCUCUUACUUCGUAUUGUGGAGUUGAACCAAGAUGUUUGUAAAGGCAAGGAGAUCGCCUACUUCAUGAAGAUGUACCGUGAGUGAGGCUAGUCCUUCGUGGGCGGAAGCCGUGGUGGAAUAGACAAGGUCACUUCUUCGUGGACCCCUUGUGGGUGGAGCCCUCCGUGGACUCUCGCAGCCGUUACCCUCCAUGGGUUGUAGUCUCCACUAACAUGGACGUACGAUAACGCCACCUACCGGAACCAUGCUAAAAAUCUCCGUGUCAACCUUUGUGUUUGAUCUCCCUACCUCACCCUCUACUUUUUUUUGAUGGGAAACUGUAAGCAAAACCCCUCACAACGAGUUUUUUUUGAAAUAAUAAGAACUCAAAUUCGCGCCCGUGGGGACUUGAACGUGGGUGGCUGGGUUGUACAUCUACUCCACUAGACAAGUGAGCUAGGCUCACUUCCUUUACUCUUGCAUGUUUUACUUUCCGCUGCUAUACUCUUAGAUAUGCAUGUGUAGGGUUUACUUGACUAGUUAUAGUUGCUAAAACUGUCCCACACUUCAAAUUGGGAAACAACUAAGUUUUUAUCUUGUCAAGUAGUCUAAUCACCCCGCCUCUAGACAUACUUUCGAUCCUACAAUUUGGAAAAAUAACUAUAUAGGGGUACUGGGUUGGGAAUGAUUUGCAUGAGGAGAGUGGACAUGCAACUAUGUCGGACAUGAGCUGCAUGACUGAGUCGGGUGGGUUUACGUGUUGGGGUGGAAUGGAACUAGAUAGGGGCCGAGGCAAGUUGCGUGUUGAAAAACAAAACACAAGCUUACUUGUGCAUUAAGGGUGGACUUGCAAUUGGAAGAAGAGCUAGGUUGUGAGUGGAGGAUAGACUUACAUAUGGGACAACUACAAAUUGAGACCAAUUGCGUGUCAAUGGUUGACUUAAAACUGGGAUAAAACAAACUAUGGUUCAAGUUGCGAGUUAACGGUGGAUUUGCAACUAGGAUGAUGACAAAAAUAUAGGCUCACUUGCGAGUCAUUUGUGGGCUUGCAACUGGAAUAAAACAAACUAUGAGACUAGUUGCGAGUCGAUGUUGGACUUAUAACCGAGACAAGCAUAUAAACUAUGAUACGAGUUGAGAGUUGAGAGUAAACUUGCAAUUGAGAUGAAAAACAAAACACAUACCCAAUUGCGUGUCGAGGAUGGACUUGUAACUGAGAAAACAAAAAUAUGGGCCCGACUGCGAAUCGAGGAUGGACUUGCAACAGGGACAACAAAAAAACUAUGAUCCCACUUGUGAUUCGAGGACAAACUUGCAAUUGAGGCCCCUACAAGUACAAAGCCCUUAGUUACGAGUUGAGGUUGGAUUCGCAACUCGGGAAACUACAGGUACAGAAAGCCCAGUUGCGAGUCGAGGAUGGACUUGGAACCUUGAAAAUACGACUACAAAAAAGCCUCUGUUCCGAUUUGAGGGUGGACUUGCAACUGGGGCAACUACAUGUACAAAAAGGUCCCAGUUGUGAGUCGAGGGUAGAUUUUCAACUACGAUAACUACAGGUACAAACCUCGAGUUACGAGUCAACGGUGGACUUGCUACUAGGGUACCUAAAAUUACAACGCCUCGAGUUACGAGUCGGCGAUGGAGUUGAAGCUGGUGCACCUACAACUACAAAGCCUCGAGUUGCGAGUUGAGGAUGGACUUGCAACUAGAUUAACUACAAAGUACAAAAGAAAACCAGUUGUGAGUCAAGGGUUGACUUGCAACUAAGACAUCCACAGUUACACAAAAACCCCUAGUUGCAAAUCAAGGAUGGACUUGCAAGUGGAGCAACAAUAGGUACAAAGCCAGUUGUGAGUCGAUGGUAGACUUGCAACUUGGCCAACCACAACUACAAUACCUUCAAAAGAAGGGUGAAACUAUGAAAUUGGGAUGAAACCAACUAUGGGACCAGCUGCGUGUCGAGGGUGGACCUGGAACCGGGAUAAGAAAAAAAGUACAAGCUCAAGUUGUGAACCGAUGAUGGGGUUGAAACUCGAACAACUACAGGUUCAGUUACGAGUCGAUGAUGACUCCAAACUUGCACAACUACAAAACUAGGAGCCCAGUUGCGAGUCAUGGGUUGAUUUGCAACUAGGAUAAAACAAACUACUGGACCAGUUGCGAGUCAAGGGUGGACCUGCAACCGGCAUGAGAAACUAAACACAGUCUGAGUUGCGGCUCAAGGGUGGGCUUGAAACUGCUAUGAAACAAACUUCAUGCCUAGUUGCGAGGUCAGGAUGUACUUGUAACUGGGACAACUACAUGAAACUAAGAUAUGAGUUGCAAGUCGAGGGUGGACUUGCAACACGGACAAACUACACAAAACUACGAUACGAGUUGUAGUCGCGAGGGUGAACUUGUAACUGGGACAACUACAAAACUACGAGUCGAGUUGCAAUUCAAGUAUAUCAUUGCAAUUGGGAUGAAACAAACUACGGGCCUAAUUGCGAGUCAAGGGUGAACCUGUAACUGGGAUGAAAAACUACACAUAGACCGAGUUGCGAGUCAAGACUAGACUUGCAUCUAGGAUGAAAUAAACUACGGGCCUAGUUGUGAGUCAAGUGAGUACUUGCAACUCGGGAAAAUACACAAAACGACUACGAGUAGCGAUUCAACAGUUGACUUGCAACUCGGACAACUAAAUGAAACUACGAUAAGCGUUGCGAGUCCAGGGUAGACUUGCAGCUGGGACAACAAUAAGGCUAUGGGCUCAGUUGCGAUUCGAAGGCAAAUUUGCAAUUGGGACAACUACGAAACCAUGAGCCCAGUUGUGAGUCAAGGGUGAACUUGCAACCAGGAUGAAACAAACUACAUGCCUAGUUGCGAGGCAAGGGAGGACUUGCAACUCGGCAAGUACACAAAACUACCAUACUAUUUGGGAGUCAAGGAUGGACUUGCAACCGAAACAAUAACAAACUACGAGCCCAGUUACGAGUUGAAUGUGGACUUGCAACUAGGAUGAGAAAAACACAUAAUGAUUUAUGAGUUUAGGGUAAACUUGUAACUAGGAAAACUAAAAAUUCAUUUACGAGUUAAAGAUGGACUCUACAAAUUCUCGGUCAUGCCAAAAAAACACACAACGAAAAUGAACAAAAAAUAUAAAGGGAUCGCGCCUCCCAAGCAACGAUAAAAGUAACAUGAGAACAUGCGAGCAUAAAACAAAAUGGAACAAGAGGACGCGCGACAAGAGAGAAAGAGCUGACACGGACGCACAUGAUCGACUUUGUGCAAACAUCAAACAAAUCAGAUGAUUAUAACUUGAUAAGACAUCACUAAAUCUCAUCUAAAUAAGAUUUAGCAAAUCUAAAAAAUAUCUAGUUACACUCUCCUCUACUACACAGUCAAACUAAAAUAAACAUAUAACCCACAAAAAGCUAGUACACACAACGUAAAAGGGCACACUAAAAAAAGUCAUAUAUGACCUCACUGCUUAACGAGGAGCGAAUGAAAAACACGACACAUCAACAAUGAAAGUGAAUCAUAAGCAUAUGAAUCAGAUGAGACGUUGUUAACUCACAUUUACUCCCUCCGUACCUAAAUAUAAGUCUUUUAAUAUAUUUCAUUAGGUGUCUACAUACAAAGCAAAAUGAAUGAAUCUAUACUCUAAAACAUGUCUAUAUACAUUUGUAUGUAGUCCAUUAGUGCAACAUCUAGAAAGACUUAUAUUUAGGAACGGAGGGAGUAGAUGAGAAUUAGACGUGAGUUAACAAAAACAAUAAAAAAAGAAACCCCUGGAUCAUACCGUAGUGACCCACCAAAUGACGCACGUAGAAGUAGGUAAGUAAGUAAGUAUCUUGGAUUACCUGCGAUAGUGGGAGCAGAUAGGAGUGAAAGCUUUGAAUACUUUUGUGACAAAAUCAAGAAGCUUCUGAAGGGGUGGAUGGAAAAGCAACUGUCAACAGGAGGGAAAGAAAUCUUGUUAAAAGCAGUGGCUCAAUCCAUCCCUGUCUUCGCUAUGUCAGUUUUCUGUUUGCCUAAGGGAACUUGCAAGGAUAUCACGGAUGUAAUUGCUCAGUAUUGGUGGGGAGAUGAUGAAGAAAACAAAAAAAUGCACUGGUUCUCGUGGUGGAAACUAUGCAUCCGAAGUGUGAUGGUGGCAUGGGUUUCCGCGAUCUUCACUCUUUUAACUUGGCCCUUCUUGCGAAACAAUGUUGGAGAUUGAUCACAAGGUCGGAGUCCAUCUGUGCUCGCAUCUUGAAGGCAAAAUACUACCCAAAUACAGACUUGCUACACGCUGGACCAAAGAGCGGAUCUUCGUUCACAUGGCAAAGCUUGAUGGCGGGCUUGACUGCGUUUAAAAGAGGGUACAUUUGGCGAAUUGGUUCGAGGGAAAAUGUAAGUAUAUGGAAUGAUCCAUGGAUACCCUCAAGCCCGGACAGAAGGGUGAUAACUCCUCGGCGGCAGAUUCUGAUUUCGAGGGUGGUAGAGCUCAUUGAUCCAGUCACCGGCCAAUGGGAUGAACAAUUGAUACGAGACAUCUUUUACCCAGUCGAUGCAAACAGAAUCUUGCAGAUACCUUUAAAUUUUCAAGCAUUUGAUGACUUCAUUGCGUGGCACCUCACAAGGAAUGGUAUUUUCUCGGUGAGGAGUGCUUAUCAUGAACAAUGGUCACAUAAGCUCAGGGGUCAAUCCCUUGUGAAUUCAGUGUCCACCAGUACUAUGCAGGCAGCUAUUUGGAAGAAGCUCUGGGAGUUACAAGUGCCAUGGAAAAUACAGAUUUUCUUUUGGCGGGCGUUGCGUGGAAUUGUACCACUAAAAUCCAUUCUUGCUAAUAAGCACAUCCCUAUUGAUGGGGAGUGUCCGGUGUGCCAUAGGGGACCUGAAGACAUGCGGCAUAUGUUAUUCCAGUGUGAUUUGGCGAGAAGGUUGUGUGCUGGACUAGGGCUGAUUGAUCGUAUUGAACAAGCAGUUCAAGUGGAUCGCUCAGGGUCAGCCAUCUUAGAAUUUCUCCUACUAGAGCUGGACCAACCAAUGUCGAUCAUGUCAAGUAUUAAUGACAAAGAGGUAAUAGCGGCUGGCUGCUGGUAUCUCUGGUGGCUCCGCCGGCGACACACCCAUCAUGAUUCUUGCCCUCCAUCCUUCAGGUGGCAUACCUCAAUUCUAGCAAUAGUGGGAAAUUACAUAAAAUCUUUAUCAAAGAAGAGGGAACCGGUGGAACACAAGUGGAAGAGACCAGAGGCAAGAUUUAUAAAGCUAAAUGUGGAUGCUUCAUUCCAUUCAGAUGAAGGAUCGAGUUCUACUGCAGGUAUCUUACGAGAUGAAAAGGGUGGCUUUAUUGCAGGGUUUUGCAGAUUCAUUCCCUUUGCAGCUGACGUUGUCACGAUUGAAGCAAUGGCAAUGCGAGAUGGUUUACAUUUGGUGAACUCCUUGGGCUUUAACAGGGUAGAAGCGGAAUCAGAUUCUUUGAGCGUCAUCAAGUGUUGCCAAGGGCAAGAUCAGUGGUGGGAUGCAGCAGCGGCUGUCUUUGCUGAGUGCAUAGAUAUGGCUACAUCUAUAGGAAAGGUCAUCUUUUCUCAUUGUUUUCGUGAAGCUAAUUCAGUAGCUCAUGAGCUAGCAAAGUUUAGUUUCUGUAAUAAAGUUGAGCACAAUUGGACUAAUGAACCUCCUGAGUUCUUAGUUAGCCAAUUGAUGAAUGAUGUUUUGAUUAUUUGAGUUAAUAAAGCUAGCCAUGAUGGCCUUUCCUCAAAAGAAAAAAGGAAACGCAUGUACGCGACACUAGAUGCAGCAACAAAAUAAUCCAUGAUUAAGAUUUGAAAAAAUGUAAAACAAACAGAUGAGAGUAUGUUUUUCAUGAAUAUUAAAAAAAAUGGAAAACAAGAAAAUACAAAUAUAAAUAAAAGAAAACCAGGAAACUAAAAUACUUGAUAAUUUGAAACAAAUAAUAAAACAGAAAAAAGAAAAAGAAAAAGAAGAAACAACAAAAGUAAUGCGGCAGCCGAUAUAGGCUACAGCCCAUAUAACAAGAAGAACCUAUAGGUACGAGGGCAGCUACCUAACAUACCGUUGGCGAUCCUAAAAAAAGUGAUCCUCAAACGCAACAUUCGUUUCUUCAAAAACAGGGUUGGGGGGGGGGGGAUAACAUAGUGUAUGAAACAGAACUACUAGACGGAUGAAAAAAGCAAAUCAAUCCGUGGUUGGAUGAUUGGAGAGACAGUGAUAUCCCAGCACAUCAGGGUUUAAAUCCUGAUGCUACACUAUUUUUAAAUUUAUUUCAGGAUUUCCGACAAUAUGCUUUCAGUGGGAGGAGACAUUCCCGUCGAGGAUAAGAUGCCUACAGUGACUUUGUAAAUCUCAAGACGAUAUACUCGCUCAGUCUUUGAGAGAUGUUCAUAGGGAUAAGAUGUGUGUAUGUUCGGUUUAGGAGUUAAAUCUGAGAUAAGUAUUUUACAUCUAGAUGUGAAAUAGCAAUUUCAAAAAUUCAUAUGAAAAAUCUCUGAAUGAAAAAGACUCAUUAACUUAGAAACUCCAUGCAAAAAUACAAGGCUAACUUUUUUUCUCUUAAAUAAAAAAGAAAAAUAGAGAAAAAUGACGGAGGAUAACACUUGGCAGUGGGCGGGUGAAACACAUCACAAUUUUAUUUUCAAAUUGAUCUCUAACCAGGAAAAUACCCCGCGCAUACAACCAAGACCACGCACUCACCCCAUCGCAUGGCCUCCACACGCCUUGUCGAUAUCCAUGGUGGCAUCUAGCGCCGGCCGGGUGGCACGGAUCCCCCUUCACUCCCUCAGCGUGUGAACGUCGUCGCUCCAGCCCAACCGUUGCUCGUGUUCAGGAUAAGCUGCCCAGCUCGUCCGCCCUUCUUAUUGCCGCUGCUUCUCAGCUCACACGCUCCAACACUAUCCUCUCGUGUCUCGUCGAGCUAUCUGUCCACGGAGUAGUACCUUCCCGAGCUAGCUCGCAGCUCCGCCGCAAUGGCCACCGUGGUGAGCAGCCUCCGCUUGCCCUUCUCCGUCUGCGCCGCCGCCCCCUCGGCGCCCAUGGCAUCCCGCGUCGCGCUCCCGCUGUCGUCGACGGCUGCCAGGGGCAUGAGGCUCCGCGCGCAGGCGACGUACAAGGUGAAGCUGAUCACGCCGGAGGGCGAGGUGGACCUCGAGGUCCCCGACGACGUCUACAUCCUCGACCACGCCGAGGAGGAAGGGAUCGACCUGCCCUACUCCUGCCGCGCCGGCUCCUGCUCCUCCUGCGCCGGGAAGGUGGUCUCCGGCCAGCUGGACCAGUCCGACCAGAGCUUCCUCGACGACGACCAGAUCGAGGCGGGGUGGGUGCUCACCUGCGCCGCGUACCCCACCUCGGACCUCGUCAUCGAGACACACAAGGAGGAGGAGCUCACCGCUUGAAUUCACUGAUUUUGUGUAUUUCCAUCCGUUUCCGGCGUGCGCGUGUAUAUGCACGAUGCAUGAACUGUAUCAGGAUAUUGAGGAGUUACAGAGUAAUUAGUACUUGCUG